GACGAACGCUGGCGGCGUGCCUAAUACAUGCAAGUUGAGCGCUGAAGGUUGGUACUUGUACCAACUGGAUGAGCAGCGAACGGGUGAGUAACGCGUGGGGAAUCUGCCUUUGAGCGGGGGACAACAUUUGGAAGCGAAUGCUAAUACCGCAUAAAAACUUUAAACACAAGUUUUAAGUUUGAAAGAUGCAAUUGCAUCACUCAAAGAUGAUCCCGCGUUGUAUUAGCUAGUUGGUGAGGUAAAGGCUCACCAAGGCGAUGAUACAUAGCCGACCUGAGAGGGUGAUCGGCCACAUUGGGACUGAGACACGGCCCAAACUCCUACGGGAGGCAGCAGUAGGGAAUCUUCGGCAAUGGACGAAAGUCUGACCGAGCAACGCCGCGUGAGUGAAGAAGGUUUUCGGAUCGUAAAACUCUGUUGGUAGAGAAGAACGUUGGUGAGAGUGGAAAGCUCGUCAAGUGACGGUAACUACCCAGAAAGGGACGGCUAACUACGUG
rnacentral:rRNA from 1 species